AUGAACGCUGGCGGCGUGCCUAAUACAUGCCAGUAGAACGCUGAAGGCGGAGCUUGCUCUUCUGGAUGAGUUGCGAACGGGUGAGUAACGCGUAGGUAACCUGCCUGGUAGCGGGGGAUAACUAUUGGAAACGAUAGCUAAUACCGCAUGACAACAGUUAUUGCAUGAUAACUGUUUAAAAGGGGCAACUGCUCCACUACCAGAUGGACCUGCGUUGUAUUAGCUAGUUGGUGAGGUAACGGCUCACCAAGGCGACGAUACAUAGCCGACCUGAGAGGGUGAUCGGCCACACUGGGACUGAGACACGGCCCAGACUCCUACGGGAGGCAGCAGUAGGGAAUCUUCGGCAAUGGACGGAAGUCUGACCGAGCAACGCCGCGUGAGUGAAGAAGGGUUUCGGAUCGUAAAGCUCUGUUGUAAGAGAAGAACGAGUGUGAGAGUGGAAAGUUCACACUGUGACGGUAUCUUACCAGAAAGGGACGGCUAACUACGUG
rnacentral:rRNA from 1 species